rnacentral:rRNA from 1 species
CGCUGGCGGCGCGCCUAACACAUGCAAGUCGAACGAGCAAAGAGGAGCUUGCUUCUCUGAGCGAGUGGCGAACGGGUGAGUAACGCGUGAGGAACCUGCCUCAAAGAGGGGGACAACAGUUGGAAACGACUGCUAAUACCGCAUAAGCCCACGACCCGGCAUCGGGUAGAGGGAAAAGGAGCAAUCCGCUUUGAGAUGGCCUCGCGUCCGAUUAGCUAGUUGGUGAGGUAAUGGCCCACCAAGGCGACGAUCGGUAGCCGGACUGAGAGGUUGAACGGCCACAUUGGGACUGAGACACGGCCCAGACUCCUACGGGAGGCAGCAGUGGGGAAUAUUGCACAAUGGGGGAAACCCUGAUGCAGCGACGCCGCGUGGAGGAAGAAGGUCUUCGGAUUGUAAACUCCUGUUGUUGAGGAAGAUAAUGACGGUACUCAACAAGGAAGUGACGGCUAACUACGUG